UACGAGUGCCCCGAGCAUUAUCCGGAAUCAUUGGGCGUAAAGGGUGUGUAGGUGGUCAUGUUAGUCUACUGUUAAAACCUGGGGCUUAACCCCAGAUGUGCGGUAGAUACGGCAUAACUAGAGGAUGGCAGAGAUGUAUGGAACUCAUGGAGUAGGGGUGAAAUCCGUUGAUAUCAUGGGGAACACCAAAAGCGAAGGCAGUGACAUUGGGCCACUCCUGGACCACUUGAAAGCAACGGAAAACGCGUGGG
rnacentral:rRNA from 1 species